AGUCCCGCCAGGCUGGGGACAAGGCACAGCAGCGUCCUCUCGGCCUCUCCCAGGCCCCAAUUCGACACAACCAUUCCCCGUCCCCAGCCCCCGGACGAGGAGGGGGUGCAGCCCCUCCACCCCGCCCCGUCGCCGCCCCUAGCCCGACCUUUUUGUCCCAGAUUUGCAGAGGCUUGCUGCCGAUGCUGUAGAGGAUGGAGAGGAAGCCGCUCUGGAACGUGUUUUUGAACAUCUCGCCGGCGGCCUUCUCCUAAGCCGCCCCCGGAGCCGACCUAGGCCCCGGAGUAGAUACAGGCACCGAGCGUCGAGGGCACAGCAGCAGGCCGGCCCUGUUCCGAAGAAGGGUGGUUGAGCUCCUGGCCUCCGGAUCUGCAGCCACUGAUGGCCGGACUCGGACGCGGCAACGCUAAGUCCGCGAUCUUCAGCUCCUAAGCUGCGAGCUCAGAACGGAAACCACAGCAACUACCGUCCGCGCCGCGGUAUUUCCCCGCCUUCAAUGGAGGCGGAGGGCCGCCCGUUGCUUAAAAUGAAUCCCUCCGCCCAUCUGAGCCCGCCCCCCGGGAGCGCGGGGCCCAAUCCCGUUACAAGGACCACGGACUUCCGUUUCGUUCCGCCUGUAAGUCCCGCCUGGUCCCGCCUCCUCCUGAAAAGAGCUCAGUUGUCAAGGAACUAUUUUUCUUGCCGUCGUCCCAGAGAUGCCUUUGGAAAAGCGGAAGGGCACGGAGGGUUCUGGAGUUCGUUGCUGGCACCUGCGUGGUGUCAUGAGAACGUGGCGGGGCGAUUCACACUACAAGGAAUACUAAAGGACGUUCUCCACAUUGAAGGAAAAUGAUCUAAAGAGAAACAGAUCUGUAAGAAGAAAUGAAGAGCACUGGUAAAGUUCAUGGGUGCUUCAGAAUGUGUGGUCAAAAGCAGCCCUCAGAUCAGAGACCUCGACCCCUCUCCUGCCUCAGGACAGCAAACUCAACCAGCCUCCAAGACGGGGCCUUUCUUCAGUAGCAGGUCCAGCAUAGCAAGUGGGUGGUGAGAUGCCGGCAGUGGAAUUCUAGAAGCAGUGCCUCCCAGAACAGCACUACAGUACUGAGGAAGGACUAUGCACCUGGGAAGCUGUCACACACACAAAAUCAUUUCAUGAAAACUUUCUUUGGGUAAAGGAAGGGUUCCACUGCGUAGUAUUUGAUUUGAGAAGGGCUGCAUGGUGCAUGAGGUUAAGAAAGAAAUGACUAUAUUUGCCUUUAAACACUUCAGCUGAUUCCAAGCACCCAACUUCAGAGGCUCAGUGAGAAGAAAGCACACUAAUUAAAGAAAGCACAUUAAUUAAAGAUACCACCACCUGCCAAAUAAUAGCAUGUGCUGCAAGGAAUGGGGCUAGGGAGAGUGUUUCACAAAUGCAGAGCACCAGGCCACAAGGUUAAAGUCAUGCACUAAAACAGUCAAUCCCAAGAGGCAGGUGUCUGAGUGGCGCGACUCAGAAGCAAGUACAUAAAAACGGAACACUCCCAACAGGACACCACUCUAGCCCCACUUCUGCCAAAGGAAAGUUUUCACAUCAAGGUGUAACACACAUCUUUGCAAUUCAAGGUUUAUCCCUCCCCUCUCCCCCAAAGAGACAGGAAAUACAAGUUAAGGUCCUCAUAGCAAUGGUUUGUCUCCCACUUGGGAAGGCUGGUUAUUGUCAACAUUUUUAUUUAAGAAAACAGGAUUUAACAUGGCAUUUUUCUUCCCUCUAAGGGCAGCAGCACAUAAAUCAUACAUCAGUCAUCCAGUGAUACAAAGAGGUGGCCAAUUGUGUCUGAAGUAGUCACUUGUAAAGGAUCACAACCCAGGCAGUGUUGCUUUUCUGCAAACAGAAGGAAACAGAAGGCUCCAUGGUCCUUGAAGAUUAUCCAAGUUUUCCACUAGUUGUCAAGAUUUCUGUCCCAACCUCUUAGUCACCAUUUACAGCAAGAAGAGCCAGCAAGUGAAAAACUGUUAAUUUAUUGAUUCAAAGUUGUUUUUUUUCUUUUUAAAAAACAAUCCCCAAUACAUGCAGUUCAGGGUUAAGUAUCACAUUUGUAGCACAUUGUUGAGUCUCAAAACAAAAAUAUGCAUCACCUGUAUAAUCCCAUCACAUCUUUUUCCAGCCUCUACAAUACCUAGUUGGGGGUGUUUUCAUUUAUACAUCCACAUAGCUCAGAAGCAUGUUAUUAACGGUUGAUCUGGCCCGAUGCUUCUCCGCCACCUCCCCUGCCCUGGUCUCCACCUCGGGGUUAUUUUUUUCUAAAGGCAGGAUGUUACUCAGUCUUAAUUUAUUAAGAUCACUGACAAACUUUGGCUUCUUGUGUGCUCAUGUGGUCCCUGCUUUUGCUUUCGGAAGGGUUUAUAUUGAAACGACUGUGACUCUGAUCGGUUAUUAUCCCCUCAUUUUUUGUAGGAAAUAAGUUUGCUUGUUUCUGUGGGUGCUCACACAGUAACACAGGUUCCUAAAGUAACCAUUUAAUCUGAACUGGUAUUAAAGGAAACUGUUAACCAGG